CUAACAUCAUAGUACUAUCUUACUACACAAUAAAAACCAAUUAUACCAAGCAUGUUUCAAUAGAUAGACCAUCUUACAUCAUAGUACUAUCUUACUACACCAUAAAAACCAAUUAUACCAAGGAUGUUGCAAUAGAUAGACAAUCUAACAGCACAGUACUAUCUUACUACACAAUAAAAACCAAUUAUACCAAGCAUGUUUCAUUAGAUAGACCAUCUAACAUCAUAUUACUAUCUUUCUACACAAUAAAAACCAAUUAUACCAAGCAUGUUUCAUUAGAUAGACCAUCUAACAUCAUAGUACUAUCUUUCUACGCAAUAAAAACCAAUUAUACCAAGCAUUUUUCAUUAGAUACCCCAUCUAACAUCAUAGUACUAUCUUUCUACGCAAUAAAAACCAAUUAUACCAAGCAUGUUUUAUUAGAUAGACCAUCUAACAUCAUAGUACUAUCUUUCUACACAAUAAAAACCAAUUAUACCAAGCAUGUUUCAUUAGAUAGACCAUCUAACAUCAUAGUACUAUCUUACUACACAAUAAAAACCAAUUAUACCAAGCAUGUUUCAUUGGAUAGACCAUCUUACAUCAUAGUACUAUCUUUCUACACAAUAAAAACCAAUUAUACCAAGCAUGUUUCAUUAAAUAGACCAUAUAACAUCAUAGUACUAUCUUUCUACACAAUGAAAACCAAUUAUACCAAGCAUGUGUCAAUAGAUAGACCAUCUAACAUUAAAGUACUAUCUUACUUCACAAUAAAAACCAAUUAUACCAAGCAUGUUUCAAUAAAUAGACCAUCUAACAUCAUAGUACUAUCUUACUACACAAUAAAAACCAAUUAUACCAAGCAAGUUUCAUAAUAUAGACCAUCUAAAAUCAUCUAACAUCAUAGUACUAUCUUACUACACAAUAAAAACCAAUUAUACCAAGCAUGUUUCAAUAGAUAGACCAUCUAACAUCAUAGUUCUAUCUUACUACACCAUAAAACCAAUUAUACCAAGCAUGUUUCAAUAGAUAGACAAUCUAACAGCACAGUACUAUCUUACUACACAAUAAAAACCAAUUAUACCAAGCAUGUUUCAUUAGAUAAACAAUCUAACAUCAUAGUAAUAUCUUACUACACAAUAAAAACCAAUUAUACCAAGCAUGUUUCAUUAGAUAGACCAUCUAACAUCAUAGUACUAUCUUUCUACACAAUAAAAACCAAUUAUACCAAGAAUGUU
rnacentral:lncRNA from 1 species